AUUCACGCUGGCGGCGUGCAUCACACAUGCAAGUCGAACGAUGAAACUUAAAUGAUUUCUUCGGAAUGAACUUAAGUGGAUUAGUGGCGGACGGGUGAGUAACGCGUGAGUAACCUGCCUUACACAAGGGGAUAGCCGUUGGAAACGACGAAUAAUACCCUAUGAAACUAUCACUUCGCAUGAAGCGAUAGUCAAAGUGUUAGCGGUGUAAGAUGGACUUGCGUCUGAUUAGCUAGUUGGUGAGAAAAAAGCCCACCAAGGCAACGAUCAGUAGCCGGCUUGAGAGAGUGUACGGCCACAUUGGGACUGAGACACGGCCCAGACUCCUACGGGAGGCAGCAGUGGGGAAUUUUGCACAAUGGGGGAAACCCUGAUGCAGCGACGCCGCGUGAUUUAGAAGGCCUUCGGGUUGUAAAAAUCUUUUGUAUAGGAAGAAAAUGACAGUACUAUACGAAUAAGGUCCGGCUAAUUACGUG
rnacentral:rRNA from 1 species